GUGUCAGCCGCCGCGGUAAUACAGAGGUCCCAAGCGUUGUUCGGAUUCACUGGGCGUAAAGGGUGCGUAGGUGGUGAGGUAAGUCGGAUGUGAAAGCUCGGAGCUCAACUCCGAAAUGGCAUUGGAAACUACCUUGCUCGAGGGAUGGAGGGGGGACUGGAAUUCUCGGUGUAGCAGUGAAAUGCGUAGAUAUCGAGAGGAACACCAGUGGCGAAGGCGAGUCCCUGGACAUCUCCUGACACUGAGGCACGAAAGCUAGGGGAGCAAACAGGAUUAGAAACCCUAGUAGUCC
rnacentral:rRNA from 1 species